AACGAACGCUGGCGGCAGGCCUAACACAUGCAAGUCGAGCGAGACCUUCGGGUCUAGCGGCGGUCGGGUGAGUAACGCGUGGGAACGUGCCCUUUUCUACGGAAUAGCCUCGGGAAACUGAGCGUAAUACCGUAUACGCCCCUUGGGGGAAAGAUUUAUCGGAGAAGGAUCGGCCCGCGUUGGAUUAGGUAGUUGGUGGGGUAAUGGCCUACCAAGCCUACGAUCCAUAGCUGGUUUGAGAGGAUGAUCAGCCACACUGGGACUGAGACACGGCCCAGACUCCUACGGGAGGCAGCAGUGGGGAAUCUUAGACAAUGGGAGCAACCCUGAUCUAGCCAUGCCGCGUGAGUGAUGAAGGCCUUAGGGUUGUAAAGCUCUUUCAGCUGGGAAGAUAAUGACAGUACCAGCAGAAGAAGCCCCGGCUAACUCCGUG
rnacentral:rRNA from 1 species